CAGAUUAUAUUUUCAGGGAUCAUUUCUAAUAGUUCAUUACUAGAGAGGUUUCCCUGAAUGUAUAGAGCACCCCAAAACCACGAGGAGGAGGCACAUUCUCUCCUGGGUAUGAAACCUGUCUUGGUGUUGCCUCAGUAACUGCCAUUUGCCACUGAUGAUCAAUCUUCUCUCUCUUUUGAGAGAGUAAAAGGGAGAGGACACUGUCUGAGUGGU